CAUCCCCAGUCUCCAAACGUAGCGGCCUCGCCUCCCCCCUCCAUCUUGGCUCCACCUAACCGCGCGCGCAGCGAGGAUGAACGCGACCCUCCCGGGAGAUAGAGAAGAUGGAGAUAUAAAUCAGCUCAGAGGGAAGAUAGGAUAGAAGGUUGUCACCAGAAUGUUAUUGAGAAGUCAGAGGAAUGUCGGAAGACUGGGGAUGUCCUACUGAGCCCUAUACACAAUAUCCAAGAUAUGGAACCAACCUAGAUGUCUACCAAUAGACAGAUGAAUAAAAAUGCACUGCACAGGCACAAUGGAGUCUUAUUCAACAAUAAAGAACAAGGAAACUGUA